rnacentral:misc_RNA from 1 species
AGCACGAACUAGGGUUUGUGGGCUGCAAAAGUACAGUUCACAAAACUUCGUUAGAGUUCAUCAUGAAACGAUCACACGGCAAGCAUGUACUAUUCUGUCCAUCCACACACACAUACAAGUUAUGUUCUUACACUCUAAUAUUAACUAAUGAAAAAAUAAUGAAAGAGUAUCUCUUAUGAAUAGAAUAGGCAAUUUGUUUUGCAGAAGCUAUACUUAAAAAAUGUCAAAAUGCUUAAGAACCAUAAAAUGGAAUUACAUUUAUAGCCACAGUUGCUCAAAUAUCUCUUUUAACUACUUUCUUUAAAAUGAAGGCUCAAGCAAAACGUUAUCCUGGUUUAUGUCUAAA